AAGUCGUAACAAGGUUUCCGUAGGUGAACCUGCGGAAGGAUCAUUAACACAUUGUCCAUUUGAUGAUAGUGAUUGUCUUUUAUUCUGAGUGUCAUAAUUCGGAUGAAGCAGUCCUAUCAUUCAAACCACUUAGCGAAUGAGUUGAAGUCCUCAUUAUUAAUUAACUUUAAUAAUUUAGUGGAAUAAAACUAUGUAAUCACGUUUAAUGAAUUUAGAAAUGAAUUCAUUCGACUAAUGUUUACUUCAAAAAAAACAAAAUAUAACCAAGACAACUUGUAACAGUGGAUACCUUGGUUCCCAG
rnacentral:misc_RNA from 1 species